rnacentral:rRNA from 1 species
AAAUUGAAGAGUUUGAUCAUGGCUCAGAUUGAACGCUGGCGGCAGGCCUAACACAUGCAAGUCGAACGGUAACAGAAAGCAGCUUGCUGCUUUGCUGACGAGUGGCGGACGGGUGAGUAAUGUCUGGGAAACUGCCUGAUGGAGGGGGAUAACUACUGGAAACGCUAGCUAAUACCGCAUAACGUCGCAAGACCAAAGAGGGG